rfam:Gossypium raimondii Chr08_contig_362, whole genome shotgun sequence.
AUCUCAUGGUGAGGGCACUGUCUCCAUAAGUCCUUAUACCUCUCCCAUGCAUCUUAUAAAGUCUCUAAAUCGAUCUGGAAAAAUGAGGACGUAUCAUUCCUCAACUU